CCUACGGGCGACAGCAGUGAGGAAUAUUGGUCAAUGGACGAGAGUCUGAACCAGCCAAGUAGCGUGAAGGAUGACUGCCCUAUGGGUUGUAAACUUCUUUUAUAUGGGAAUAAAAUGUUCCACGUGUGGGAUUUUGUAUGUACCAUAUGAAUAAGGAUCGGCUAACUCCGUGCCAGCAGCCGCGGUAAUACGGAGGAUCCGAGCGUUAUCCGGAUUUAUUGGGUUUAAAGGGAGCGUAGGUGGAUUGUUAAGUCAGUUGUGAAAGUUUGCGGCUCAACCGUAAAAUUGCAGUUGAAACUGGCAGUCUUGAGUACAGUAGAGGUGGGCGGAAUUCGUGGUGUAGCGGUGAAAUGCUUAGAUAUCACGAAGAACUCCGAUGGCGAAGGCAGUUCACUGGACUGCAACUGACACUGAGGCUCGAAAGUGUGGGUAUCAAACAGGAUUAGAUACCCGGGUAGUC
rnacentral:rRNA from 1 species